AUAAAUCUGAACAUUUUCGGUGGAAUACCACAGAAAACGAAUCGACUAAUCUUCUGUAAUGCUAUUAUGAGGAUUGCCCUUUGAGGUUUAUAGCGAUAGGUCGCCCUAUGGUCGGUUACAUGCUUUUGUU
rnacentral:sRNA from 1 species